rnacentral:rRNA from 1 species
UGGGGAAUAUUGCGCAAUGGGCGAAAGCCUGACGCAGCGACGCCGCGUGGGUGAUGAAGGCCUUCGGGUCGUAAAGCCCUGUCGGGAGGGACGAAACCUCGGUGACCUAAUACGUCACCGACCUGACGGUACCUCUUAAGGAAGCACCGGCUAACUCCGUGCCAGCAGCCGCGGUAAUACGGAGGGUGCGAGCGUUGUUCGGAAUUACUGGGCGUAAAGCGUGCGCAGGCGGUUUUGUAAGACAGAUGUGAAAUCCCCGGGCUUAACCUGGGAACUGCGUUUGUGACUGCAAGGCUGGAGUACGGCAGAGGGGGGUGGAAUUCCACGUGUAGCAGUGAAAUGCGUAGAGAUGUGGAGGAACACCGAUGGCGAAGGCAGCCCCCUGGGCCUGUACUGACGCUCAUGCACGAAAGCGUGGGGAGCAAACA